rnacentral:rRNA from 1 species
CGCGGCCUAUCAGCUUGUUGGUGAGGUAACGGCUCACCAAGGCUACGACGGGUAGCUGGUCUGAGAGGAUGGCCAGCCACAUUGGGACUGAGAUACGGCCCAGAGUCCUACGGGAUGCAGCAGUCAGGAAUAUUGCGCAAUGGAGGAAACUCUGACGCAGCGACGCCGCGUGGGUGAUGAAGGCCUUCGGGUCGUAAAGCCCUGUCGGAAGGGAAGAAAAGCCUGUUGGCUAAUAUCCAGCGGGCCUUUGACGGUACCUUUAAAGGAAGCGCCGGCUAACUCCGUGCCAGCAGCCGCGGUAAGACGGAGGGUGCAAGCGUUGUUCGGAUUGACUGGGCGUAAAGGGCGUGUAGGCGGUUUGUCAAGUCGGGUGUGAAAGCCUGGGGCUCAGCCCCAGAAGUGCAUCCGAAACUAGCGAGCUAGAGCGCGAUAGAGGAGGGUGGAAUUCCUGGUGUAGCGGUGAAAUGCGUAGAUAUCAGGAGGAACACCGGCGGCGAAGGCGGCCCUCUGGAUCGUUGCUGACGCUGAGACGCGAAAGCGUAGGGAGCAAACAGGAUUAGAUACCCUGGUAGUCCACGCCUUAAACGAUGGGUACUAGGUGUUCGGGGUGUUGACCCCCUGAGUGCCGCAGCUAACGCAUUAAGUACCCCGCC